UACGUAGGGUGCAAGCGUUAAUCGGAAUUACUGGGCGUAAAGCGUGCGCAGGCGGUCUUGCAAGCCAGAUGUGAAAUCCCCGGGCUCAACCUGGGAACUGCAUUUGUGACUGCAAGGCUGGAGUGCGGCAGAGGGGGAUGGAAUUCCGCGUGUAGCAGUGAAAUGCGUAGAUAUGUGGAGGAAUACCGAUGGCGAAGGCAGCCCCCUGGGCCAAUACUGACGCUCAUGCACGAAAGCGUGGGGAGCAAACAGG
rnacentral:rRNA from 1 species